UCUGUGGCCAAGGAGCAGUGGGCAAGGGGCUAAGGGGAGGGGGGCCCAGUGCCAGCCGUUUAAAAAUGCCCCGUGGCGGUAAGGGGUGCCAGAGGCCCGGUCAAGUUAGUUGAGAAGCAGUGACGCCCCCAACCGUCCCCUAAAUGGGCUGCCCCCCGUGUCCGGGCCACAAGGAGCCACACCUGGACCAGACCCCAGGAGAGGCAAGGGCACUGGCCGGUGGGAGCCACUCUUGCAACGCUGACAUUGGAUGAGCAAGCACCCCAGAGAGGGCCUCCUGAGGACCAGAGAGGAGGGCAGGCGGCAGAGGCCCUGAAAACAGAGCUCCUCCCCGGAGCUUCCCAAGAAGACAGAGGCUCCCCCGGGCUGGGCUUGGCGACAUUUCCUGAAGACAGUAGGGAGCAGUGAGGGGAAAUUGGCCCGUUUCUGGGAGCAACGCCGCAGAUUGCCAACAGCCGGCACCAGGUAAGAAUCCGCCCGCUAUGAGUCUAAGGCCACCUGCUCAAGUGUCUCCUUGGACACAGGGGAAAGGGAGCCACAGAGAGGGGAAGCACGUGGGAGAAGUGACCACACCGGUAGAACUCAGGUCUCCCAAAUGGCCCGCUGUCUCCUGACUGGGGACCAAGAGUAAGAAGGAGCCUCUGGUGGGGUAAGUGGAAUAGGAGGGCUGUCGACCUCCUUCUCAUCUGAAGGAGACCAGGAGUCAGGGCCAGCACUGUCUGCCUGCUGGACAAGUAAGAGAGACUCAAGGGAAGAGUUCUUGGGCAAGAGGACACGCUUCCUGCAUCUCUGCCCCUCCUCCCAGCCUACCACCUCCUCCUCCAGGAAGUCCUCCCAGCUCCCCGCCUGAGGCGGGAACCUCUUUGUCCUCUAAGACCUUGGCAGUCCUUUCUUAGGCUGUCUCUGGUGCCACUUGGAUCUGUGCCCUAUUCACCUUGCCAGGGACAUUCUUCUUCCAUUUUAGCCUGACUGCACUCCUCCAGGGCAAGGACAUCAGUCCCACCUCCCCUCGGCACAUAGAAGUCACCCUAGGCUUGCUAGAUGGGGAGGUGAAAUGGUGAGACCCUGUCUCAAACCCAAAGGAUUGGUAAAUUGGCCACGGGAGGAGACAUUCGGCAUAGAGGUUAAGAUGAGGGAGCCGGGGUUGGCUGUUCUGAGUUAGGAACCCAGCUCAGCUCCUAACUCCGUGGCCUUGGAAAAUUCCCUUCUCACAGAGCCUUGGGGAUACGAGGGGAUUAGCACAAUUAAAACAGUCAACAAAUGACUGCUCUUAUUACA